AGAGUUUGAUCCUGGCUCAGGAUGAACGCUGGCGGUCUGCUUAACACAUGCAAGUCGAACGCAACCUUCGGGUUGAGUGGCGGACGGGUGAGUAACGCGUGAGAAUCUGCCUUAGGGUCGGGGACAACCACUGGAAACGGUGGCUAAUACCGGAUAAGCCGAUUGGUGAAAGAUUUAUUGCCCGAAGAGGAGCUCGCGUCUGAUUAGCUAGUUGGUGAGGUAAGAGCUCACCAAGGCAGCGAUCAGUAGCUGGUCUGAGAGGACGAUCAGCCACACUGGGACUGAGACACGGCCCAGACUCCUACGGGAGGCAGCAGUGGGGAAUUUUCCGCAAUGGGCGAAAGCCUGACGGAGCAAGACCGCGUGAGGGAGGAAGGCUCUUGGGUUGUAAACCUCUUUUCUCAGGGAAGAAGCUCUGACGGUACCUGAGGAAUCAGCCUCGGCUAACUCCGUGCCAGCAGCCGCGGUAAUACGGAGGAGGCAAGCGUUAUCCGGAAUUAUUGGGCGUAAAGCGUCCGCAGGUGGCGAUUCAAGUCUGCUGUCAAAGCACGGGGCUUAACUCCGUUAAGGCAGUGGAAACUGAAUAGCUAGAGUGCCGUAGGGGUAGAGGGAAUUCCCGGUGU
rnacentral:rRNA from 1 species